rnacentral:lncRNA from 1 species
GCGAAGAUGGAGAGCUUCCCCUCGCGCGCGCCGCGGUCGCCGCCGGAGACUGGGGCGUCGACGGCGGCGCACCCUGCGGCGGCGGCGGCGGCGGCGAUCUCGGCGGCGAGGGCGGGGUCGGAGGUGGUCAUGUCGACGAGGACGGAGCCCGGGGCGAGCCCGGCGAGGACGCCGUCGGAGGGGUCGAGGGCGACGCGGCGCACGUCGGAGGGGUAGCCGACGAUGAGGAAGACGACGUCGCUGGCCGCGGCGGCGGCGCGCGGGGAAGAGGCGGCGGCGGCGCCGCGGUCGAGGAGGGGCUGGGC